UCUUCCUUGCCUCCACAGAAGCCUGUUCCUCUGGUUUCCUGCAUCUCCCUGUCAUCAGACCCUCUGUUCCUCUGCUCCACCCGUCCACUGCUCUACAGUGCUGUGUUUGAUGACCUCUCCCUUAGCUGAAACCAGUAUCUGAAAAAAUAAACUUUGUUUUCCUUUU